AUUGAACGCUGGCGGCAGGCCUAACACAUGCAAGUCGAGCGGAGCGGCGGACGGGUGAGUAAUGCCUAGGAAUCUGCCUGGUAGUGGGGGAUAACGUCCGGAAACGGGCGCUAAUACCGCAUACUAUCAGAUGAGCCUAGGUCGGAUUAGCUAGUUGGUGGGGUAAAGGCCUACCAAGGCGACGAUCCGUAACUGGUCUGAGCGGAUGAUCAGUCACACUGUAACGGAGACACGGUCCAAACUCCUAAGGGAGGCAGCAGUGGGGAAUAUUGGAAAGAGGGCGAAAGCCUGAUCCAGCCAUGCCGCGUGUAUGAAGAAGGUCUUCGGAUUGUAAAGCACUUUAAGUUGGGAGGCGUUACCAACAGAAUAAGCACCGACUAACUUCAUGCCGGCGGCCGCGAUAAUAC
rnacentral:rRNA from 1 species